UUAAAAAUAUAAAUUUAAACAGUUAAUGGCCUUAGGGCCUGAAUAAAUAAAGGUUUUACACAACAUAUUCAAGCAUGAAGGUUCCGGAACCUAGGUUGAGGGGUGAGGACGACCGUUAUUUAUGGUGUUCACUUAUGUUGAGGGGUGAGGACGACCGUUAUUUAUGGUGUUCACUUAUGUUGAGGGGUGAGGACAACUGAUAUUU
rnacentral:lncRNA from 1 species